CCUAACACAUGCAAGUCGAACGGUAACAGGAAGAAGCUCGCUUCUUUGCUGACGAGUGGCGGACGGGUGAGUAAUGUCUGGGAAACUGCCUGAUGGAGGGGGAUAACUACUGGAAACGGUGGCUAAUACCGCAUAACGUCGCAAGACCAAAGAGGGGGACCUUCGGGCCUCUUGCCAUCAGAUGUGCCCAGAUGGGAUUAGCUAGUAGGUGGGGUAACGGCUCACCUAGGCGACGAUCCCUAGCUGGUCUGAGAGGAUGACCAGCCACACUGGAACUGAGACACGGUCCAGACUCCUACGGGAGGCAGCAGUGGGGAAUAUUGCACAAUGGGCGCAAGCCUGAUGCAGCCAUGCCGCGUGUAUGAAGAAGGCCUUCGGGUUGUAAAGACUUUCAGCGGGGAGGAAGGGAGUAAAGUUAAUACCUUUGCUCAUUGACGUUACCCGCAGAAGAAGCACCGGCUAACUCCGUGCCAGCAGCCGCGGUAAUACGGAGGGUGCAAGCGUUAAUCGGAAUUACUGGGCGUAAAG
rnacentral:rRNA from 1 species